rnacentral:siRNA from 1 species
UCACCCACCCACUUACAUUGA